GCUGUCAGAGAGAUGGCCGCCGUAGCGGUCACCACGCCGACCCGCCGCAGCGGUCACCACUCCGACCGCAUGGUCUGCCGAGCGGGACGAGUAGUCGGCGGCUGGCACUCCGGAUUUCUCCCCUAUUCCGCCCACAAUAGAUGAGUGAUCAGUGCCCACAUCACCGGACCUCCACGGAUGAACCUGUCAGGCUGGGGAGGCUCAUUCCUAGGAGAGAUCGUGUUUUGAGAUCAUUAAUCCACCACUGAAGGAAGUCAGAGCAGAAACUCAAGCAGGGACUUGAAGAAGAAACCAUGGAGGAAUACGGCUUGCUGGCUCACCUAAGGAAGACCACUGAAGCCACCGCAGACAGCAGAACCUCAAUCAGCUUGAAAGAGAAUGGGCUCAACAAAAGAGCAAACUGUCAACAGUGAUGAUGAGGUGCAACAUUCAACUUCACAGUUCUUGGAAUCGUAAGGAAAUUUAAAAGAGUGGACUUCCUGGGAUGAAGAUGAGCCCACUAGUGCAUCGAAGGAGGGAAUGGGAUUGUGGCAACACAGCAGAACUCUUUGGAGCAACUGGAACCUGACUACUUCGAGGCCAUAACUCCAACUAUACAGAAAACUCAGAAAAUUGUCAUUAAGAAGAGAGAACCAUUGAAUUUUGGUGUCCCAGAUGGUAGCACAGGUUUUUCCAGUAGAUUGGCAGCUGCACAAGAUAGGCCUUUUAUUCAUCAGUCUUCAAAAUUAGGUGACUUAGAUACGUGGCAAGAAAAUACCAGUGCAUGGGAAGAGGAAGAAGACGCAGCCUGGCAAGCAGAAGAAGUCCUGAAGCAGCAGAAAAUUUCAGACGGAGAGAAGAGACAGCAGAACAACAAAGGAAGAAAACGGAGAAGGAAGCGCAACGCCCUAUAAAGAAGGAGCAAAGCAAAGUCUGUGUGAAGCUUUCCUAACAGGCUUUGUGAGUCUGGGCGCACAGCCUACACGCAAGCAUUUGCAUGCACUGGACAGUAUUCUCAGAAUACAAACACUCUGCUAGAUCUCAGUUUGUUAUUGAGCUAUCCAGGACACCAGGAUUCUCCCAUAAUACCUUGAACUAUUAGGAAUCAAGACUCAAAACACAAAAAUAAUGAGACAAUUAUUUUCUUCAAUGUGUUCCAAAUAGAAGACAAUUGUUUGCUGUAGAGAAGUUAUUUCAAGAGGAAUAUACCUGACAAGUACCUCUCAAGCUAGUGUUUCUAGAUGAACAAAGGGCUGUAAAUAAUUUUAUGGUGGAAAAGUACCCUGCUACUUACUAUGCUUUUGUUCAUUGUACAUAAUUAUAAAAUAAUUUUAAUGAUCAUUUGUUU
rnacentral:lncRNA from 1 species